rnacentral:rRNA from 1 species
UUUCGCAAUGCCCGAAAGGGAGACGAAGCGACGCCGCGUGUGGGAAGAAGGCCUUCGGGUUGUAAACCACUGUCGGGAGUUAAGAAAUACAAGGAUAUUAAUAGUGUCUUUGUUUGACUAAGGCUCCGGAGGAAGCCACGGCUAACUCUGUGCCAGCAGCCGCGGUAAUACAGAGGCGGCAAGCGUUGUUCGGAACUAUUGGGCGUAAAGAGCACGUAGGCGGCUAUGUAAGUCGGUUGUGAAAGCCUUCCGCUCAACGGAAGAACAGCAUCCGAUACUACAUGGCUUGAGUGCGGGAGGGGAGAGUGGAACUUCUGGUGGAGCGGUGAAAUGCGUAGAUAUCAGAAGGAACGCCGGCGGCGAAAGCGGCUCUCUGGCCCAUAACUGACGCUGAGUGUGCGAAAGCUAGGGGAGCAAACGGGAUUAGAUACCCCGGUAGUCCUAGCCGUAAACGAUGGGCACUAAGUAGAGGGGUUUU